GGGGGUGUAGCUCAGUGGUAGAGCACUUGCCUAUUAUAAUGCCUUGCAUGCAAAAAGCCCCAAGUUCAGUCCUUAGCACCACUC
rnacentral:tRNA from 1 species